rnacentral:rRNA from 1 species
UACGGGGGGGGCAAGCGUUGUUCGGAAUUACUGGGCGUAAAGGGCUCGUAGGCGGCCAACUAAGUCAGACGUGAAAUCCCUCGGCUUAACCGGGGAACUGCGUCUGAUACUGGAUGGCUUGAGAUUGGGAGAGGGAUGCGGAAUUCCAGGUGUAGCGGUGAAAUGCGUAGAUAUCUGGAGGAACACCGGUGGCGAAGGCGGCAUCCUGGACCGGCAUUGACGCUGAGGCGCGAAAGCUAGGGGAGCAAACGGG